rnacentral:rRNA from 1 species
AUUGAACGCUGGCGGAAUGCUUUACACAUGCAAGUCGAACGGUAGAGGGGGCAACCCCUUGAGAGUGGCGAACGGGUGAGUAAUAUAUCGGAACGUGCCCAGUCGUGGGGGAUAACGUAGUGAAAAUUACGCUAAUACCGCAUACGACCUAAGGAUGAAAGCGGGGGAUCGCAAGACCUCGCGCGAUUGGAGCGGCCGAUAUCAGAUUAGGUAGUUGGUGGGGUAAAGGCCCACCAAGCCAACGAUCUGUAGCUGGUCUGAGAGGACGACCAGCCACACUGGAACUGAGACACGGUCCGGACUCCUACGGGAGGCAGCAGUGGGGAAUUUUGGACAAUGGGCGAAAGCCUGACCCAGCCAUUCCGCGUGCAGGAUGAAGGCCCUCGGGUUGUAAACUGCUUUUGUACAGAACGAAAAGGUUUCUACUAAUACUAGGAGCUCAUGACGGUACUGUAAGAAUAAGCACCGGCUAACUACGUGCCAGCAGCCGCGGUAA